UCUCCUUUCAAGCAGCUCCCUGUGAUGAGAGCUCCCAGUCAACUUUGCUAGCUCAAAGCUGGUAAUGAGCACUAAUCAUUGCACCUGUACAAGCUCCCAAGCAGGCUUCCAUAGCCUUGCUCUAGUCAAGAACAUAGGGAGCAAGCCCCUCCACUUAUGGCUUAUUGUUAGGUGUUCAGAGAGAGUUUUGAGGAGAGUUUGUGUGCCUAAGGAGCUUUCUGGUUCCCACGUGGCACUACAGUAAAAACCCUGUACUACAAAGAAAAGAGUGGAAAAGAAUACAUGACAAUGAAGCAGCCAUCUCUAAGUUUCCAGCAUUGAAUUGAACACUUUCAAAUCCCCAGAGAGGUCUGAGGUUUGCCUGGGAUUUUGAAAGAAGGUUUUGGGGUGAAGGAAGAGCCAGUUUGCUUUAACUGAACUAGUUCACCUAUCUCUAACAUAUCCUUGAGGAGUGGGGGGGCAUCAUCCCUCCAUCUGGAGGCCAUGACAGUGGAACCAGAGGGGAACCUGUGUCAUGAAGUGUUUAGAGCCCCUAUAUUCCCUUAUUCCACCUGUGGGGCUUGUCUCCACUUAUCGGGGAAUCAACGUGGUCAACUGCAGUACUCCGCCGGAACGAGAAGCAUAAGUUGUCCUAGAAGAAGAGUCGGAAUUUCACCCAAAAAUGGAUGACAUUUCAAGAAAAACACUAAGUUUCAAGCAAAAGGGGCUGCGAA